UCAUCUAGUUGGCGGAGUGGUUAACGCGACGCCCUGCUAUGGAAUUACUCCUAGUUGUCAGGCGUUUCCUUAGGGAGCAUGAGUUCGAAUCUCAUAGGUGUC